UACGGAGGAUGCGAGCGUUAUCCGGAUUUAUUGGGUUUAAAGGGUACGCAGGCGGCACGGCAAGCCGGCGGUCAAAUCGCGGGGCUCAACCCCGCCCAGCCGUCGGAACUGCCGGGCUAGAGUGGGCGAGAAGUGCGCGGAAUGCGUGGUGUAGCGGUGAAAUGCAUAGAUAUCACGCAGAACUCCGAUUGCGAAGGCAGCGCACCGGCGCCCUACUGACGCUCAGGCACGAAAGCGUGGGUAUCGAACAGG
rnacentral:rRNA from 1 species